AUGCAGCUAGAGGUGUGUGGAGAGGAACAUGGAGCCAAAAAAGAAAUACGGACAUUCACAGCCAAGAUCCAACUCAGAAGACUAGAAAAUGAACAACCCAGCAAACUUAGGAGAUGGGGAAGGAAGGGAAUUCAGAAGGUGAUAGCUGCAAGCAUCGGCAGACCAGUCCUAGCAAAAUGGAGUUUAAAAGGGGGACUUCUACGUUCUGUCCUCCUGCAGCCAUCUAAAGUCAGCCAGAAAGGUUUAGGAUCCCAUUUCCUGUUCUUGCAUCGGCUGUCCAAGCUGCUGUUCCUCUCUCUGCAGUAAGAGGGUGUUUUUCUCCCUAUUCAAGAGGAGCACCAACACUUGAGUUAUGAGUUUGAGAUUCAUCUACGCAGCGAAGCACAGUCGUUGUUGUGUAGGGUUCCAUGGCAUUAAUACAGAGCACGCUUUUUUCCCAUUUGUCACUUGGGGUACACUAGGUCGUUCCUAGUUUAGAGUGGAUCAUAACACCACUGCCUUCAGGAUGCACUGCAGUUCCACUCCCUGGUAUGUGUCUGAGAAACCUAGGGUGCAUUCCUUGGAGUGGGAUCCCAAUCUCAACUGGGGAUGGUCCCAGUUACCUACCCUACCACUACCUGCAGUGGAAGUACAGCAUGAAUUCUUAAGUGAUUUCUGCAAUAGCAAAUGAAUCCUUCUCUUUUUCCUUUCACCUUCGAUGUCAAGGAUCUUCCUAAGGUGCAGAUCUGAUGAUGCCACCCUUCUGCAUUGCAUCUUUUUAAUGACUGCCCUGCACCCUUGGACGAUAUUUAUAUUUUCUAGCAAUGGCAUUUAGGACUGAUUGUGAUCAGAGAUCUGUCCUCCAAUCCAGACUCCCACCUUGCCAUUUGCUUACCUUGGCAGUAUACAGCACCCUUACAGAAGUGCUCCCAGCUACUGCAACAUGAAAGCAUGACUUCAAGAGCUGACCCUUUUACACACUAUUCUUCAUUUGUAUCAAAUCCUUAGGGAAGACAUUCCCUUAUCUCCAGCCUGAGUGCAGUGCAAGUCCCCAGGAUUCUGAAAUCUCUCCAGGCAUUCAUUUAUUAUAGCAGCUAUCAAGUUGUAUUGAAAGUAUCUGUUUACAUUGAAUUCAUUCAUAUCCUGCCUUCUUAUACAAAAGGGUUGGAUAGAUGAAAUACAAUAGAGAUGGAACUAUAUAAGCAGAUAAGUGUAGCUAGACUACAGUUUAAAGAGGGGAACAUUGGAAAUUAGACAGACAAGCUAUGGGAUUUCAUGUGGUCAUUAAAAUUGGGUCCCAGAAAGACACUAAGGACAGGGACCACAAAGCAGGUGUGCACCUUCACCAGAUGGUGGGAAUGGGGGCUGUGUAUUCCAUCUCUAAAUUCCCAGUGCCUGACACCUCCUCAGAGCAUUAGGAUCACGUGGGUGUUGAAGUGGAUGCCCAGGUAACAGGCACCUUUAGAAUUGCCAUGACCUCAUUCGUGUGCUGCAGAAUGAUGCUGGUGUACAUGGCUAGACGAUUGAAGUAUUUGGAAGAACGAGUGCCAUUUACAAGCUGCAAUUGCUAACUAAACUGUCUAUAGGGACAAUCCAUCAUCAGCUGUCACAAAGACUGAGCAGGCUUAGGAGGUGGGAGCAAUUAACAGGGC
ensembl:lincRNA